UCCCUGGUGGCUCAGAUGGUAAAGCGUCUGCCUGCAAUGCAGGAGACCCAGGUUCAAUUCCUGGGUCGGGAA
rnacentral:tRNA from 1 species